GAGACAGAGUGUGAGCAGGGGAGGCACAGAGAGGGGAACACAGAAUCCGAAGCAGGCUCCAGACUCCGAGUGCCAGCACAGAGUCCAACACAGGUCUCAAACCAGUGAACCGUGAAUUAAUGGCCCAAGCCAAAGACUGACGCUUAACCAGCUGAGCCACCCAGGCACCCCAAGUACCUUAUUUAUUUACAUUUCAACUAGCCCUGUGAUUCCUCGUUUACUAAACCUGUUCUUCUCAGAACUAUUGGCCAAUCCACACAGACGUCAACAAAGAUGGAAAGCUGAAAGUAGCCAUGAGAAAAGCCUGGAAGGGUGCUGUUGCAGUACUCAGAAGACAAGAAUGGGGACAUUCAAUCACAGAAGGCCCCCCAGCAAAAAGAUGCCUAAAGCAGGACCUGAAAGGUAAAUAAAAGGUAGCUGAAAGAGGAGAAUGGAGGGGGACUGCAAAACAAUAUUCCAGGCAGAAAGAAUCCUGUCCACGCUGAUCCAGGGCUUGAAGAACUGGAAGACAGAGAGUGGGGUAGGAGAGGAACGUACAUACAGAUUGUUGGAAAGCCAAAUAAUAUAAAACCAUAAUUAUGCAGACACUGAA